UACAGAGGGUGCAAGCGUUGUUCGGAAUUAUUGGGCGUAAAGGGCGCGUAGGCGGUUCGGCAAGUCUCUAGUGAAAUCUCAGGGCUCAACUCUGAGUCUGCUGGGGAAACUGCCGGGCUUGAGUGUGGGAGAGGAGAGUGGAAUUCCCGGUGUAGCGGUGAAAAUGCGCAGAUAUCAGGAGGAACACCGGUGGCGAAGGCGGU
rnacentral:rRNA from 1 species